UCAGGAUAGCUCAGCUGGUAGAGCAGAGGACUGAAAAUCCUCUAAACU
rnacentral:tRNA from 3 species